GAUGAACGCUGGCGGCGUGCCUAAUACAUGCAAGUCGAGCGAACAGACGAGGAGCUUGCUCCUCUGACGUUAGCGGCGGACGGGUGAGUAACACGUGGAUAACCUACCUAUAAGACUGGGAUAACUUCGGGAAACCGGAGCUAAUACCGGAUAAUAUAUUGAACCGCAUGGUUCAAUAGUGAAAGACGGUUUUGCUGUCACUUAUAGAUGGAUCCGCGCCGCAUUAGCUAGUUGGUAAGGUAACGGCUUACCAAGGCGACGAUGCGUAGCCGACCUGUGAGGGUGAUCGGCCACACUGGAACUGAGACACGGUCCAGACUCCUACGGGAGGCAGCAGUAGGGAAUCUUCCGCAAUGGGCGAAAGCCUGACGGAGCAACGCCGCGUGAGUGAUGAAGGUCUUCGGAUCGUAAAACUCUGUUAUUAGGGAAGAACAAAUGUGUAAGUAACUAUGCACGUCUUGACGGUACCUAAUCAGAAAGCCACGGCUAACUACGUG
rnacentral:rRNA from 1 species